GAUGAACGCUGGCGGCGUGCCUAAUACAUGCAAGUCGAGCGAACAGACGAGGAGCUUGCUCCUCUGACGUUAGCGGCGGACGGGUGAGUAACACGUGGAUAACCUACCUAUAAGACUGGGAUAACUUCGGGAAACCGGAGCUAAUACCGGAUAAUAUAUUGAACCGCAUGGUUCAAUAGUGAAAGACGGCUUUGCUGUCACUUAUAGAUGGAUCCGCGCCGCAUUAGCUAGUUGGUAAGGUAACGGCUUACCAAGGCAACGAUGCGUAGCCGACCUGAGGGGGUGAUCGGCCACACUGGAACUGAGACACGGUCCAGACUCCUACGGGAGGCAGCAGUAGGGAAUCUUCCGCAAUGGGCGAAAGCCUGACGGAGCAACGCCGCGUGAGUGAUGAAGGUCUUCGGAUCGUAAAGCUCUGUUAUUAGGGAAGAACAAAUGUGUAAGUAACUAUGCACGUCUUGACGGUACCUAAUCAGAAAGCCACGGCUAACUACGUG
rnacentral:rRNA from 1 species